GGCUGUCCGAGUUGUAAUCUGGAGAAGCGUUUUCUGUGUUAGACCGUGUACAAGUCUCCUGGAACGGAGCCUCAUAGAGGGUGAGAAUCCCGUCCAUGACACGGACUACUAAUACUUUGUGAUACGCUCUCGAAGAGUCGAGUUGUUUGGGAAUGCAGCUCAAAAUGGGUGGUAAAUUCCAUCUAAAGCUAAAUACAGGCGAGAGACCGAUAGCGAACAAGUACCGUGAGGGAAAGAUGAAAAGCACUUUGGAAAGAGAGUUAAACAGUACGUGAAAUUGUUGAAAGGGAAACGCUUGAAGUCAGUCGCGUUGUGUAGAACUCAGCCUUGCCUCGGCUUGGUGUACUUUCUGCACAAAACGGGUCAACAUCAGUUUUGGCCCAUGGAGAAAGAUGGGGGGAAUGUAGCGCUGUUUCGGCAGCGUGUUAUAGCCCUCCAUUGUAUGCAUGGGUUGGGAUUGAGGAACGCAGCACGCCCUUGUGGCCGGGGGUUCGCCCUACGUACCGUGCUUAGGAUGUUGGCAGAAUGGCUUUAAGCGACCCGUCUUGAAACACGGACCAAGGAGUCUAACAUGCUUGCGAGUGUUCGGGUGGAAAACCCUUGUGCGUAAUGAAAGUGAAAGUUGGGAACCUCCGCAAGGGGGUGCACCGACGCCCGGCCCUGACGUUCUCUGACGGUGCUGCGGUAGAGCAAGUAUGCUGGGACCCGAAAGAUGGUGAACUAUGCCUGAAUAGGGCGAAGCCAGAGGAAACU
rnacentral:rRNA from 1 species